AUACGUAGGUGGCAAGCGUUGUCCGGAAUUAUUGGGCGUAAAGCGCGCGCAGGUGGUUCCUUAAGUCUGAUGUGAAAGCCCCCGGCUCAACCGGGGAGGGUCAUUGGAAACUGGGGAACUUGAGUGCAGAAGAGGAUAGUGGAAUUCCAAGUGUAGCGGUGAAAUGCGUAGAGAUUUGGAGGAACACCAGUAGCGAAGGCGACUGUCUGGUCUGUAACUGACUCUGAGUCGCGAAAGCGUGGGGGGCAAACAGGAUUAGAUACCCUGGUAGUCCACGCCGUAAACGAUGAGUGCUAAGUGUUGGGGGGUUUCCGCCCCUCAGUGCUGCAGCUAACGCAUUAAGCACUCCGCCUGGGGAGUACGGUCGCAAGACUGAAACUCAAAUGAAUUGACGGGG
rnacentral:rRNA from 1 species